CCCUUAGAUGUUCUGGGCCGCACACGCGCUACACUGAAGGAGGCAGCGUGUACUCCUGGAUCGAAAGAUUUGGGUAACCCGCGAAUCUCCUUCGUGCUAGGGAUUGAGGUUUGCAAUUAUCCUUCAUGAACGAGGAAUCCCCAGUAAGUGCAAGUCAUAAGCUUGCGCUGACUACGUCCCUGCCCUUUGUACACACCGCCCGUCGCUACUACCGAUUGAAUGAUUUAGUGAGGACUUCGGACUGGGACCGAUGCGGCUUUCGGGCUGCGUCGGUAUUCUGGAAAGAUGUCCAAACUGUAUCAUUUAGAGGAAGUAAAAGUCGUANCA
rnacentral:rRNA from 1 species